CCUACGGGAGGCAGCAGUGGGGAAUUUUGGACAAUGGGCGCAAGCCUGAUCCAGCUAUUCCGCGUGUGGGAAGACUGCCUUCGGGUUGUAAACCACUUCUGUAGAGAACGAAAAGUCUAUUGAUAAUACCGAUAGAUGAUGAUGGUACUCUAAGAAUAAGCACCGGCUAACUACGUGCCAGCAGCCGCGGUAAUACGUAGGGUGCGAGCGUUAAUCGGAAUUACUGGGCGUAAAGGGUGUGCAGGCGGUUUGGCAAGAUGGAUGUGAAAGCCCCGGGCUUAACCUGGGAAAGCCAUACAUGACUGGAAGACUAGAGUGCGUCAGAGGGGGGUGGAAUUCCAAGUGUAGCAGUGAAAUGCGUAGAUAUUUGGAAGAACACCGAUGGCGAAGGCAGCCCCCUGGGACGCAACUGACGCUCAUACACGAAAGCGUGGGGAGCAAACAGGAUUAGAUACCCCGGUAGUC
rnacentral:rRNA from 1 species